UCUCAUUGUGGUCAGAUACAAAAAUGUA
rnacentral:piRNA from 1 species